GCUUUCCAACCUGCCUGUAGCGGGCUGCCACUCCACUCGGCACCUGGUCUUAGGUGCAAGGGCAGACUAGGUACCGAGUCCUUCAAGCGAAAGGUAGGUCACCUAGGUCUGGGCUCUACUUACGUCCCUGCUCUCACAAGAACCGAUCCCGCACCAAGUCAACCUUCAACGCCUGAUGAUCUAUCUCCGUUCCUCACGGCCGCUGGUCUGUGGUACCCUAAAGACUAUGUCGAUUAGCCGUCUAGGUCACACCCCUUUUAAGACCCCACCCCCUAAUCCUCCACCUGGACGUCCGCCUCGCGCUCCGUCGGCCGCUACCUGUCGCCGCCGCCUGUUUAUAACAAGCGCGUGCUUCGACGCCGGUUGUCUUCCCUCUCGAACGGCGAUACAGCCUCGACAGUUGCCCCUUCUACUUAGGGGUUCGUGACCCCACCUUGUUUUCCGAAUCCUAACCACGACGGCGUGGAUCGUCUUGUGGUAAUCACGCCGACCUAUCUCAUUAACAUCCCGAGCAAAGGAAAGACCUCGAGGACCUUGACCUUUUAACGAAAAUGGCAAUCACGCCGUACUAUCUCAAUAACAUCCUGAGUAAAGGAGAGACCUCGAGGACCUUCAAAGUUAACACUUUAUCUCCUGGAACAUCUUCGCUUCGGCCCCCAUCCUCUGCUGCGAUAACUACCUAAAGAAUUACGUCGGAUAGUUAUCUAAGGUACACGAAAGUCUCCACCUCCUGUUACUUCGUAGGUACCUAGACGCUGGGAUGUGCCACCGAUGAAACCACCCCCUCGACCUUGUUCGCAGUCACGGGCAAUUCGAAUCUAGAUCCUACUUCUUCCUUCUUGAAUUCGGUCCACAGGUUCGUCAGCUGGCCGUUCUACUUGGACGUUCGGGCCCCACCUGAUCCUCUCCCUGCAGUUUAAGUAUAGUGACAAGUACGCGGUAGGCUGCCGUCGUUCGUUUCGCGUACCUGUGUGUCGCAACAGCCGAAUCUUGCCACUACGACGGGUCAGGCUGCGCAACCACU
rnacentral:rRNA from 1 species